rnacentral:rRNA from 1 species
CAGCAGCCGCGGUAAUACGUAGGGCGCAAGCGUUAUCCGGAAUUAUUGGGCGUAAAGAGCUCGUAGGCGGUUUGUCGCGUCUGCCGUGAAAGUCCGGGGCUCAACCCCGGAUCUGCGGUGGGUACGGGCAGACUAGAGUGAUGUAGGGGAGACUGGAAUUCCUGGUGUGGCGGUGAAAUGCGCAGAUAUCAGGAGGAACACCGAUGGCGAAGGCAGGUCUCUAGGCAUUAACUGACGCUGAGGAGCGAAAGCAUGGGGAGCGAACAGGAUUAGAUACCCCCGUAGUCCCUGUCUCUUAUAC